UACAGAGGGGGCAAGCGUUGUUCGGAAUUACUGGGCGUAAAGGGCGCGUAGGCGGCCUGCUAAGUCGAACGUGAAAUCCCUGGGCUCAACCCAGGAACUGCGUCCGAUACUGGUUGGCUUGAAUCCGGGAGAGGGACGUGGAAUUCCAGGUGUAGCGGUGAAAUGCGUAGAUAUCUGGAGGAACACCGGUGGCGAAGGCGGCAUCCUGGACCGGUAUUGACGCUGAGGCGCGAAAGCCAGGGGAGCAAACGGGG
rnacentral:rRNA from 1 species